UACGUAGGGUGCGAGCGUUGUCCGGAAUUAUUGGGCGUAAAGAGCUCGUAGGCGGUUUGUCACGUCUGCUGUGAAAUCCCGAGGCUCAACCUCGGGCCUGCAGUGGGUACGGGCAGACUGGAGUGCGGUAGGGGAGAAUGGAAUUCCUGGUGUAGCGGUGGAAUGCGUAGAUAUCGGAAGGAACACCGGUGGCGAAAGCGGCGCGCUGGACCUCUUCUGACGCUGAGGCGCGAAAGCCAGGGGAGCGAACGGG
rnacentral:rRNA from 1 species